GGGGGGGGGGGGGGGGGGGGGUGGGGCGGGGGGGGCGGGGGGGGGGGCGGGGAGGGUGGGGCUCGGGUGGGAGCGGGGGGGGGGUGGGGAACGCGUGGGGGGCCUCCCUAUAAGACGGGUAUACCUUCGGGAAGCCGGCGCUAACACCGGAUAAUCUGUUGCACCGCCUGGAUCCAGCGUGACAGACGGUCUUGCCGUCGCUUAUAGAUGGACCCGCGCUGCAUUAGCUAGUUGGUAAGGUAACGGCUUCCCAAGGCAACGAUGCAUCGCCGACCGGAGAAGGUGAUCGGCCAGACCGGAACUGAGACACGGUCCAGGCUCCUACGGGAGGCAGCAGUAGGGAAUCUUCCGCAAUGGGCGAAAGCCUGACGGAGCAACGCCGCGUGAGUGAUGAAGGUCUUCGGAUCGUAAAACUCUGUUAUUAGGGAAGAACAUAUGUGUAAGUAACUGUGCACAUCUUGACGGUACCUAAUCAGAAAGCCACGGCUAACUACGUG
rnacentral:rRNA from 1 species